AUCUAAGUACCUGAAGGAAGAGAAAGAAAUUCGAUUCCGUAAGUAGCGGCGAGCGAACGCGGAUUAGCCCAAACCAAUAAAGUUUACUUUAUUGGGGUUGCGGACAUAUCAUAACGAAGAGGUAUCGUAAUUGAAGAGGUUUGGAAAGACCCACCACAGAAGGUAAUAGUCCUGUAUGUUAAACGAGAAGACUUUAGAUAUGAUCCAGAGUAC
rnacentral:rRNA from 1 species